rnacentral:lncRNA from 1 species
CGGGCAGCACCCGUGGCAUAUGGAGGUUCCCAGGCUAGGGGUCGAAUCAGAGCUGUAGCUGCCAGCCUACACCACAGUCACAGCCACACUUGGGAUCCGAUCCCCGUCUGUGACCUACACCACAGCUCACAGCAACACCAGAUCCUUAACCCGCUGAUCAAGGCCAGGGAUUGAACCCACAUCCUCAUGGAUGCUAGUCGAGUAUGUUAACCGCUGAGCCAUGAAGGGAACUCCCAACACAUAGUUUCUUAAAUUUAAUGGUUUAAAAGGGAAAAAAACCUAGAAGUUCCCUGGUGGCCUAGCAGUUAAGGAUCCAGCAUUGUCACUGCUGUGUCCAGGUCACUGCUGUGGCACAGGUUGGAUCCCUGGCCCAGGAACUUCUACAUGCCAUGGAAAUCGUGUAUGUGGAAAUGUCCAGGUCACAUGCACUAAGAAAAAAUGAAUAGAAUAGCAUAGCAUAGCAUAGCAUAGCAUAGAAUAGAACAGAACUUGUUCUAAACUGGUAGAUCAUAUGGUAACAAUUUCCUUUUCUAUUCAAGAAUGUGAUCAGGCUAAAUGAUCUAAAGGGUUAGUAUUUGUGAAAAUAAGUUUUCUCCCUGGAUCCCCAUUUUAUUUAUUUAUUUAUUUAUUUAUUGUCUUUUUGCUUUUUCUAGGGCCACUCCCGUGGCAUAUGGAGGUUCCUAGGCUAGGGGUCCAGUCGGAGCUAUAGCCACCGGCCUACACCAGAGCCACAGCAACAUGGGAUCCGAGCUAUGUGGUACCAACAACAUCUGCUACAGAAUCCAUUCCAGAAGUCCAUGAGAGAAGGGUCAUUCUUCAUUAUGAAUCUUUCCAUUUUCCACCUCCUUGGAGCAUCUGUGGAAAGCCUUGAGCAUGGACUGUAUCUUUACACCCCAGGCUGAAGGCUGCUCUCCCAGGAACUAGGUUGGCUGUUCCAUGUUCUAAACAGCAGCCCAUCGUCCCACCACCUUCUGCCCAAGGGCCCUCCAGCCUCAGAGUGGAUCCCCCUGACCACAUUCAAACAGUAAAUGGGCAGUCUUCCCCAGUCAUAUAACCAACAGCAUUCCUCCAAUUUUCAUGGUGCUUUUUAUGCUCAUCCUAUAAAGUUUCAUAUUUUACUUUCCAGAUUUCAUUGUGUGCACGCAAUGGGCCCCAGGAGUGUGGCUAAACAGUUUUAAUUUUUCCAAGAAGUACUUCUCUGCCUCUCCUUUCCACUAAAGCAUGGCUAAGAAAUUCAAAAAGGCCCCCAAAGCAAGGUUUCUGUGCAGCAUAUACAAUCUGGUCCAAGACAUUCAAGCAGGAAUGAACUUCAGCAAAACUUCCAGUAUCAUGACUGAAGCCCCCACCCCCAUCUUCAUAUAUUUAGAGGGUACAUCUAUGGCAAUAUGAAGCUGAGUAAGCAAAUUCCAAAGCAUUGAGAUUAACCUUGUAAUAAAAGACUAUCUAGGAGUUCCCGUUGUGGCUAGGCAGGUUACGAACCAGACUAGUAUCCAUGAGGAUGGCGGUUCAAUCCCUGGUCUAACUCAGUGGAUUAAGGAUCUGGCGUUGCCAUGAGCUAUGGUAUAUGUAGGUCAUAGAUAUGACUUGCAGCUCCAAUUCAAUCCCUAGCCUGGGAAUUUCCAUAUGAUGCGGGUGAGACCCUAAAAAGAAAAAAAAAAUUUUUUAAAAAGGCUACCUGAUUUAUGGGGGCAGAGGGAGAAGGUAUUUGGUAAGAUGCCAUAGAAAUUCUGAAUCACCAACCAGAUUCAAAAGGAAAUAAAUGCCUGAAUCAAUUAAUGCAUUAAUUAUGACUUACCCUUUGACAAUAAACUUAAUAUAGAUUAAGUUUCUGACAAUACUAGAGCAGAGCCUGGUAGAGGGCAGACUGCAGGUUGGUUCUUUUUUUUUUUUUUUUU